AUGUAUCCGGCCGCGGGCUGCGUUCGGUUCGGUUCGGUUCGGUUCGGCUCGGUUCGGGUCUGUUCGGGUCUUGUCGGCUCUUCUCGGAGCCCCGCCGCUUCAACUCCUCGCGACUCCGUCAACUCCCGAGUGCGCGCGGCGUUUCGGAAUUCCGCGAGUUUGACCCGCGGCGCGUCACGUGACGUCACGUGGUGCGCGCGCUCUCUCUCGCUCACACUUACACACACACACAAAUACAGACGCACACACUUACAAAUACAGACACGCACACUCACACUUACACACACACACACACACACAAAUACAGACGCACACUCACACUUACACACACACACACACACACACACAAAUACAGACGCACACACUUACACACACACACACUUACAAAUACAGACACGCACACUCACACUUACACACACACACACACACAAAUACAGACGCACACUCACACUUACACACACACACACACACACAAAUACAGACGCACACACUUACACACACACACACUUACAAAUACAGACACGCACACUCACACUUACAGAAGCACUCACACACUUACAAAUACAGACGCACACUCACACUCACACUUACACACACACACACACACACAAAUACAGACGCACACACUUACACACACACACACUUACAAAUACAGACACGCACACUCACACUUACAGAAGCACUCACACACUUACAAAUACAGACGCACACUCACACUUACACACACACACACACACAAAUACAGACGCACACUCACACUUACACACACACACACACACACACACACACACACACAAAUACAGACGCACACACUUACACACACACACACUUACAAAUACAGACACGCACACUCACACUUACACACACACACACACACAAAUACAGACGCACACUCACACUUACACACACACACACACACACAAAUACAGACGCACACACUUACACACACACACACUUACAAAUACAGACACGCACACUCACACUUACAGAAGCACUCACACACUUACAAAUACAGACGCACACUCACACUCACACUUACACACACACACACACACACAAAUACAGACGCACACACUUACACACACACACACUUACAAAUACAGACACGCACACUCACACUUACAGAAGCACUCACACACUUACAAAUACAGACGCACACUCACACUCACACUUACACACACACACACACACAAAUACAGACGCACACUCACACUUACACACACACACACACAAAUACAGACGCACACACUUACACACACACACACACUUACAAAUACAGACACUCACACUUACACACACACACACACACUUACAAAUACAGACACGCACACUCACACUUACAGAAGCACUCACACACACUCAAACACACUCUCACACCCAGAUGCACACACACACAUAAGAAUAAUAAUAAUAAAUAAAGUGAAGUGA
rnacentral:lncRNA from 1 species